rnacentral:rRNA from 1 species
UACGUAGGGUGCAAGCGUUGUUCGGAAUUACUGGGCGUAAAGCGUGCGCAGGCGGUUCGUUGUGUCGGUGGUGAAAGCCCCGGGCUUAACCUGGGAAUGGCCAUGGAAACUGGCGAACUGGAGUGUGGCAGAGGGGGAUGGAAUUCCGCGUGUAGCAGUGAAAUGCGUAGAGAUGCGGAGGAACACCGAUGGCGAAGGCAGCCCCCUGGGUCUAGCACU